GAUGAAGAACGCAGCGAAAUGCGAUAAGUAAUGUGAAUUGCAGAAUUCAGUGAAUCAUCGAAUCUUUGAACGCACAUUGCGCCCGCCAGUAUUCUGGCGGGCAUGCCUGUUCGAGCGUCAUUUCAACCAUCAAGCCCCCGGCUUGUGUUGGGGACCUGCGGCUGCCGCAGGCCCUGAAAAGCAGUGGCCGGCUCGCUGUCACACCGAGCGUAGUAGCAUACAUCUCGCUCUGGGCGUGCUGCGGGUUCCGGCCGUUAAACCACCUUCAUAACCCAAGGUUGACCUCGGAUCAGGUAGGAAGACCCGCUGAACUUAAGCAUAUCAAUAAGCGGAGGA
rnacentral:misc_RNA from 1 species